AAAUGGUAUACCAAUGAUAAUAUUAUUACUAUGAGUUAAGCUAAAAUAUUAUCAGUAGUAAAUAGACUCUCUUGCUAUUUAUUUGUUUUCAAUGAUGGAGCCUCCAAAUUAACAAUCGGUAUCGUUGAAUAUAAUUUAUAUCACUUGCAGUAUUUAGAAAACAAAUUUCAAAUUUUUUCGACAUCAUUGACCUAAUGAUCAAAAUGUUUCAAAAUUAUUAAUUUUGAAAGUCGAUAUGAAGCGUUUUUACAUUUAACAGUAUAAAGAUAUCCAAAUUAAUUAAAUUUUGGUUAGAAAAUUUUUUAAACUAUUUAGAAUAAGAUUUAUACUCUCGAUCUUGAUUACAAGAUUCCUAUCAUCAUUUUUUAAAGUAUAUUCAUUCUUAGCCGUUCAUUUUUAUUUCUACUUGAUGGACAAAAGAAUAAUAUUGAGAAAAUAUGAAAUUUGAUUUCUAAAUGUUUCAAAUGGUAUAAAUUAUAUUCAAUGGUGCCGAUCAUUAAUUCGGAGGCUCCAUCAUCGAAAAUAAAUGAGUGGCAAUAAAACUCGUUUGCUGCCGAUAGAAUUCCCACUCAACUCUUAUUACUGUUACUAUUU
rnacentral:lncRNA from 1 species